GAUGAACGCUGGCGGCGUGCCUAAUACAUGCAAGUCGAGCGAACAGACGAGGAGCUUGCUCCUCUGACGUUAGCGGCGGACGGGUGAGUAACACGUGGAUAACCUACCUAUAAGACUGGGAUAACUUCGGGAAACCGGAGCUAAUACCGUAUAAUAUAUUGAACCGCAUGGUUCAAUAGUGAAAGACGGUUUUGCUGUCACUUAUAGAUGGAUCCGCGCCGCAUUAGCUAGUUGGUAAGGUAACGGCUUACCAAGGCAACGAUGCGUAGCCGACCGGAGAGGGGGAUCGGCCACACUGGAACGUAGACACGGUCCAGGCUCCUACGGGAGGCAGCAGUAGGGAAUGUUACGCAAUGGGCGAAAGCUUGACGGAGCAACGCCGCGUGAGUGAUGAAGGUCUUCGGAUCGUAAAACUCUGUUAUUAGGGAAGAACAAAUGUGUAAGUAACUAUGCACGUCUUGACGGUACCUAAUCAGAAAACCACGGCUAACUACGUG
rnacentral:rRNA from 1 species